CAGGGAAUCUUGCACAAUGGGCGAAAGCCUGAUGCAGCGACGCCGCGUGGGGGAUGAAGGCCUUAGGGUCGUAAACCCCUUUCAGCAGGGACGAAAAUGACGGUACCUGCAGAAGAAGCCCCGGCCAACUACGUGCCAGCAGCCGCGGUAAGACGUAGGGGGCGAGCGUUGUCCGGAUUUAUUGGGCGUAAAGAGCUCGUAGGCGGUUGCGUAAGUCGGAUGUGAAAACUCAGGGCUCAACCCUGAGACGCCAUCCGAUACUGCGCUGACUUGAAUCCAGUAGGGGAGUGUGGAAUUCCUGGUGUAGCGGUGAAAUGCGCAGAUAUCAGGAGGAACACCCAUGGCGAAGGCAGCACUCUGGGCUGGUAUUGACGCUGAGGAGCGAAAGCCAGGGGAGCAAACAGGAUUAGAUACCCCCGUAGUCCCUGAGCGGGCUGGCAAGGCGCAU
rnacentral:rRNA from 1 species